ensembl:lncRNA novel transcript
UGUGUGUCAACUAGGUGUGUUCUAAACAUCAUUUUUCCAGUUGGAGGAAUGCUGAGUUUGGAGAUGGCUGAUAAAUGUGUCAUCUGGAUAACAUUCUGAGAUUGAUAUAGGAAUGCCUUCUUUUGCUUCUUUAGCUGCCUUGACCAAUGUAGUGAUGCUGACAGAGGCUAUAAAAAAUGUGGCUCUCCAAUCUUGGGCACUUUAUGUAACCUUGCUCCUGGGAGGCCGAGCACAUAUUCAGCAGGAAGGAACUUGCUGGCUCAGUUACCAUGAUUCAUGCCAACAAAUCAAAGAAUGCUGCUAAUGAAUCACAAAAGGUGGAGAAUGCUAAACAGCAAUGCUUCUGUCACUCUGUUGUGGCUAUUAAUCAAGAUGAUGCAUUGCUAAGACAGCUGCCUGGGUAUGACAGGAAGCAAAUUGCUGUGUCUGCCUGUCAGAAGUUUAUUUGCUACUUUGAGUAUAUGGAACAUGAAUGUCAACUGAAUGUAUUUAAAGAAAGUGCAAAUUAAACAUGAAGAUCUUCAAA